AUGCUGCAAUGGGGCUAUGCAAAAUUCAAAACUAAUAAUUUUUUCACAAAGAUAUUAACCAGUAACUUCGAUUUGCACGUAUGUCAGAUAAAUGAGGUGCGGGGUCUCCUUGGCAGUCUGACCGAGGAGAUGCCGAGUUUCCUGUCAGACGCCACCAUCCGCCGUUUCCUCCGAGCGAGGAAUUGGAGCACGGAACAAGCAACCAAGGGUCUCAAGGAAACCGUCAAGUGGAGGUGUGAGUACAGGCCGGAUGCAAUUUCCUGGGAAGACCUUGCUGAAAUGGAGAACGAGGCCAGGAGAACACAUGUAGCCGACUACCUUGACAAGAAUGGAAGAAGUGUCCUCGUAGUAAACCUACCAAUGAAGUCUAAAGAUUCAGUCAAGGAGCAGAUAAAGCACCUGGUAUAUCUCCUCGAGUAUUUCGCCACCAACUCAGCAGAUGAACAAGACGACUAUGUUGUUUGGUUGACUGACUUCCGAGGCUGGUCAAUAUCGAGCACGCCAUUGUCGACAACCCGUGAAACCAUGCACAUAAUUCAAAAUUACUAUCCAGGGGUGAUAGCAGUGGCGAUUCCUUUUGACCCUCCGAGGAUUUUUGAAUCUUUUUGGAAGAUAGCAAAGAACUUCGUCCAGCCAAACAUGAAAGCGAAAGUGAAGUUUGUGUGUGCUAACAAACCAGAGAGCCUGAAAACAAUUGCUGACAUCUUUGACUUAGACACGCUGAGAGAAUGA
rnacentral:rRNA from 1 species